rnacentral:rRNA from 1 species
AACCCUCUGAUCUCAUCAGAUCUCAGAAGCUAAG